UUCCAUCUGUGAGUUUGAUCAAAGCAACUUUAUCUGCGAAAUUUUGAAGAAUCAGCUUCAUCUCCACUUGGCAGCAUGUGGUAAAUGAAGGUAUUUCUGGAAAUCCCAUCUUCCCAGAAUUCAGCUAGGAUCCAGAAGUGAUGCUGUUACGUGACGUCUUCAACCUCCCUCCCUCUGCCCAUCUCAGGGACCUCUCCAGAAGCCAGUCCCAAGAGUGGCAUUGGUUAGCAUAUCUCAAAUACAGUGGGAGAAGCCUCUUAGCUCAGCUCCAGUUAUUUCUCUAUUGUAGAAAACCAAGAGAGAGAUGAAUAAGGAAUGAAAACAUACUCCACAUGGACUCAAUAAAUCUUGGGUGAAAUGAUGCUGUCUGACAAGGUAAAUAAAAAAUGCAGCACUCAAGCACCAGCACUGGGGAUGAGAUGAGGACACACCAAUUACCAGCACUUCUGCCUGCUUUGCUUUGUUGACAAUAAAUAUCAAGUUAUGUCAUCA
ensembl:lncRNA SLC14A2-AS1 SLC14A2 antisense RNA 1